rnacentral:misc_RNA from 1 species
GUGAAUCAUCAAAUUUUUGAACGCAAAUUGCACUCUCCGGUUUUCCGGGAAGGUUGCCUUUUUUAAGGGCAAUCCUAAAAAAAUCGACAUUUUUGCUGUUUUAUGGUGGCUUUCGUCGGAUAUGGGGUCUCUUAAAUCUCGGUUUAAGCGACUUAAAAAUUUUUUUUACGAUUCUAUGAAUGUUUCUAAGAUUUCUCUUGUACGUUUAUGGUAUUGAUUGUCUUAUUAGACGUGGCCGUCAUAUCGGA